AGUGGGAUUGCUGGAUCAUAUGAUAAUUCUAUUUUUAAUUUUCAAAGAAACUGUCAUGCUGCUUUCCACAGUGGCUGCACAAUUUUAUGUUCACCAGCAAU
rnacentral:pre_miRNA from 1 species